UACGUAGGGUGCAAGCGUUUAAUCGGAAUUACUGGGCGUAAAGCGUGCGCAGGCGGUUAUGCAAGACAGAGGUGAAAUCCCCGGGCUCAACCUGGGAACUGCCUUUGUGACUGCAUAGCCAGAGUACGGUAGAGGGGGAUGGAAUUCCGCGUGUAGCAGUGAAAUGCGUAGAUAUGCGGAGGAACACCGAUGGCGAAGGCAAUCCCUGGACCUGUACUGACGCUCAUGCACGAAAGCGUGGGAGCAAACAGG
rnacentral:rRNA from 1 species